UGGGGAAUAUUGCACAAUGGGCGCAAGCCUGAUGCAGCCAUGCCGCGUGUGUGAAGAAGGCCUUCGGGUUGUAAAGCACUUUCAGCGAGGAGGAAGGUGGUGAACUUAAUACGUUCAUCAAUUGACGUUACUCGCAGAAGAAGCACCGGCUAACUCCGUGCCAGCAGCCGCGGUAAUACGGAGGGUGCAAGCGUUAAUCGGAAUACUGGGCGUAAAGCGCNCGCAGGCGGUUUGUUAAGUCAGAUGUGAAAUCCCCGGGCUCAACCUGGGAACUGCAUUUGAAACUGGCAAGCUAGAGUCUCGUAGAGGGGGGUAGAAUUCCAGGUGUAGCGGUGAAAUGCGUAGAGAUCUGGAGGAAUACCGGUGGCGAAGGCGGCCCCCCUGGACGAAGACUGACGCUCAGGUGCGAAAGCGUGGGGCAGCAAACAGGAUUAGAUACCCUGGUAGUCCACGCUGUAAACGAUGUCGAUUUGGAGGUUGUGCCCUUGAGGCGUGGCUUCCGGAGCUAACGCGUUAAAUCGACCGCCUGGGGAGUACGGCCGCAAGGUUAAAACUUAAAUGAAUUGC
rnacentral:rRNA from 1 species